UCUCGAUUAGUAUAGUGGUCAGUAUGCCAGCUUGUCAUUUCCAUCAUACUUGGAGUGCGCUGGAGACCGGGGUUCAAUUCCCCGAUCGAGAG